GGGCGUGUAGCGCAGGGGUAGCGCGCUUCCUUCGCAUUCAGUGAUUCAGGAAGAGGUCAAGGGUUCAAUUCCCUUCUCGUCCA
rnacentral:tRNA from 1 species